rnacentral:lncRNA from 1 species
UUGGUGUGCACUUUAGAAAUACUAAAAUGGCACAGAAUUCAUCAAGACCUGGAAUGUAAAAGUGAUGAAUCUGAUAAGUGAAGAUACUUAAGAAACCAUUGCAAUAUUCCAGGCAGGAGGUGAUGGAUAGUUACUUGUACCUAAUAGGUGGCACUGAAAGUGGAAAAGAAGAGAUGGACAUCAGAAAUAGUAUUGAGGUAAGAGGGACAAAUUCAGAGUGUGAUCGAGCGUGGAGUGUAGGGACGACAUGUAAGGAUCAUAGGUAACUUCAAGCUUCUGCGCUAGAUGGCAGAAUAGUUACGACAUUAAUAGAAACAAAUAUCAGGAGAAUGCGCUGGUUUUGAAAACAAAGUUCAGUUUUACACACAUUGAAUUUUGUGUAUUCCCUAUAGAGAUAUGGAGAAGGCAGCUGAGAACCAUGUAUCUGCUCAAUGGUGAUAUUAGAAGACAUGUGCAGUAGUUAUGAUUCCAUCCCAAGGCAACAAGUAAAGAAAGUGUUGGUCAAAAUAGAAUCUUCUGGAAUGACUACUCUUAGGAUGCUGCAAGAGAAGCAGGAAGAGUUGCGUAACCAUUCCCAAGAAGGGACUAAAAUUCCAGCACCUACGUUACCCCACAGUGUGUCCUGGAGAGUGAUUGUUGUGUGCUGAAGUGACAGAAGGUGCAUCAGCAUUGGCUACAUGUUUUUUAAUAAGUUAUAUAUCGUCCACACUCACCAACUGUAAAGCUGCAACACAGGGCAGAAGAACAGAAUGAUGGAGAGAGGAUGUUCACCACAGGGAAGAAACUAAGAUGCGGAAUUCUCUCAACUGAGUCCACUUGUAACCCACCCUCAGGACAGAAGGCAGAAAAUUUACAGAAGUGGAUGCAUGGGAAACUUGUUCAAAAAUGCACAGUUUUUAUAUGUGGGAUGCCUACCACAGCGUGGCUUGCCAAGCACUUCCAUGUCUGCACCCGGGAUCCGAACUGGCGAACCCCAGGCUGUCAAAGCAGAACGGGCGAACUUAACCGCUGCACCAUCAGGCCGUCCCAAGAUAGGGUUGGCUUUACUGACUUACUGACCAGUAGAAUGUGGCAAAAGUGAUGUUCUGGGGCUUCCGAGGAUGUCAUUAAAAGCCUUGCAGCUUCUAGCUGGGCUUCUUGGAAAACUUGCUCUUGGAGCCAUGAACCAUCACCUGAAAAGUCUAAGAACCGACAAGGCCAUGCUCUCAGAAGCCCAAGCUAGCCACACAGAGGCAACAUGAAGAGAGAGAUAGCUGACUGGCCCCGUCUGCUCUGGCCAUCCCAGUGCAGGCAGCAGGCCUUGAGUGAAGAAGCCAUCUUUAACAUUGCAGCCUCAGCAAAUGCAACGUGGAGAACUGAGAAACCCAGCAGACAGCCAGAAAUGAGGCUCCAGGCAUAGGGCCUCAGCAGAAUUGUGUCAACCAUCUUAACC